rnacentral:rRNA from 1 species
UACGGACUGUGCAAACGUUAUUCGGAUUCACUGGGCUUAAAGGGUGCGUAGGCGGCCAUGUAAGUAGGGUGUGAAAUCCCCCGGCUUAACCGGGGAACUGCGCCCUAAACUGUGUGGCUUGAGUGAGAUAGGGGUGUGUGGAACUUCCGGUGGAGCGGUGAAAUGUGUUGAUAUCGGAAGGAACGCCGGUGGCGAAAGCGACACACUGGGUCUCAACUGACGCUGAGGCACGAAAGCCAGGGGAGCGAACGGG